rnacentral:tRNA from 3 species
GGGCCGCUAGCUCAUCGGGUAGAGCAACGGACUUUUAAUCCGUAGGCGCUGGGUUCGAGCCCCAGGCGGCCCACAA